rnacentral:rRNA from 1 species
UACAGAGGGGGCAAGCGUUGUUCGGAAUUACUGGGCGUAAAGGGCGCGUAGGCGGCCUUCUAAGUCGAACGUGAAAUCCCCGGGCUCAACCCGGGAACUGCGUCCGAUACUGGAAGGCUUGAAUCCGGGAGAGGGAUGCGGAAUUCCAGGUGUAGCGGUGAAAUGCGUAGAUAUCGGGAGGAACACCAGUGGCGAAGGCGACUUCCUGGCCUGUUCUUGACGCUGAGGCGCGAAAGCGUGGGGAGCGAACAGG